GGGUGAGUAACGCGUAGGAAUCUAUCCAGUAGUGGGGGACAACAUGGGGAAACCCAUGCUAAUACCGCAUACGUCCUAAGGGAGAAAGCGGGGGAUCUUCGGACCUCGCGCUAUUGGAGGAGCCUGCGUUGGAUUAGCUUGUUGGUGAGGUAAAGGCUCACCAAGGCGACGAUCCAUAGCUGGUCUGAGAGGAUGAUCAGCCACACCGGGACUGAGACACGGCCCGGACUCCUACGGGAGGCAGCAGUGGGGAAUAUUGCGCAAUGGGCGAAAGCCUGACGCAGCCAUGCCGCGUGUGUGAAGAAGGCCUUAGGGUUGUAAAGCACUUUCAAUUGGGAAGAAAGGUUAGCCGUUAAUAGCGUCUAGCUGUGACAUUACCUUUAGAAGAAGCACCGGCUAACUCCGUGCCAGCAGCCGCGGUAAUACGGAGGGUGCGAGCGUUAAUCGGAAUUACUGGGCGUAAAGCGCGCGUAGGCGGUUUAUUAAGUCGGAUGUGAAAGCCCCGGGCUCAACCUGGGAAUUGCACCCGAUACUGGUCGACUGGAGUGCGAGAGAGGGAGGUAGAAUUCCACGUGUAGCGGUGAAAUGCGUAGAUAUGUGGAGGAAUACCGGUGGCGAAGGCGGCCUC
rnacentral:rRNA from 1 species